rnacentral:rRNA from 1 species
UACGUAGGGUGCGAGCGUUGUCCGGAAUUAUUGGGCGUAAAGGGCUCGUAGGCGGUUUGUCGCGUCGGGAGUGAAAUCCACUGGCUUAACUGGUGGCUUGCUUUCGAUACGGGCAGACUGGAGGUAUGCAGGGGAGAACGGAAUUCCUGGUGUAGCGGUGAAAUGCGCAGAUAUCGUCUGGAACGCCAAAGGUGAAAACAGACUGCUGGGAGUGUGCUGACGCUGAGACACGAAAGCCAGGGGAGCAAACGGG